AGAGUUCUGGAGGCUGGGAAGUCCAAGAUCAAGGCAAUAGCACAUUUGGUCUCUGUAAGGGCUCACUUUCUGUUUCCAAGGCUUGACAACAGAUUGGACACAACCACAAGAAAGGGUCGGAAACUCAAAGGCAGGUCAAAGUAAGUUCUCCAAGUUGAAGCACAGAAAGAAACAAACAAUGACAGACUGGAGGAAGGGUCAGCAAACUGUGGGCCCAUGGACCAAAUAUAACCUGCUGCCUGUUAUUGUAAACAAAGUUUUAUGGGAACCCA